UGAAUAAAUAAAGGCAACAGUAGUAUACCGCUGUUCAAAACUCAUAAAUCCAUGGACAAAAAACAAAAUCGGGGUAACAAACUAAAACCGAGGGAAACGCAUUAAAUAUAAGAGGAGAACAACGACAUAACACCGAAACGUAACACACACAGAAACGGACCAAGCAUCAGACAAAACACAAAUAUAACAUGAAAACCAAAUACAUGAAUUUGGGAUAGACAAGUACCGUGCCACGUCUUAUCUCAAUAUCUCAAAAAUAAGAGAAAACACAAACGACUUAACGUUAAAAUGCAACACACACAGAAACGAACAAUAAUAUAACAAUGGCCAUCUUCCUGACUUGGUACAGGACACUUUUCACGGGGAAUAAAAGUGGUGGGUUGAACCUGGUUUUGUGGCAUGCCAAACCUCGCACUUUAAUGGCAAAGUUAAAUAUAACAUUGAAAUGACAACAUAAUAUUACAGGACUACAAUACAAAUAAAUAGGAGAACAUAUUAGACAAAGAAAAACAUGAUUAAUAGAUAACAAAAAGCAUCAGGUUUAAAAUUCAAUACGCC
rnacentral:lncRNA from 1 species